rnacentral:rRNA from 1 species
GAUGAACGCUGGCGGCGUGCUUAAUACAUGCAAGUCGAACGGAGUUAGUAGCAAUACUGGCUCAGUGGCGAACGGGUGAGUAACGCGUUGGUGAUCUGCCUUGAAGUGUGGAAUAACGUUUCGAAAGGAACGCUAAUACCGCAUGUGCUCUCGAUUUUCAGAAAGUUGAGAGUAAAGGAUUUAUUCGCUUCAAGAGGAGCCUGCGUCCCAUCAGCUGGUUGGUAGGGUAACGGCCUACCAAGGCUAUGACGGGUAGGGGACCUGAGAGGGUGGCCCCCCACAAUGGAACUGAAACACGGUCCAUACACCUACGGGUGGCAGCAGUAGGGAAUAUUAGAAAUGGACGAAAGUCUGAUCUAGCAACACCGCGUGUGCGAAGAAGGCCUUCGGGUCGUAAAGCACUUUUUGGAAGGAAUAGGAAGGAAUGUACUUCCAGAAUAAGUCUCGGCUAACUACGUGCCAGCCGCCGCCGUAACAC